GACCUCAGAUCAGGCGAGACCACCC
rnacentral:rRNA from 1 species